AUUGAACGCUGGCGGCAUGCCUUACACAUGCAAGUCGAACGGUAACAGGUCUUCGGAUGCUGACGAGUGGCGAACGGGUGAGUAAUACAUCGGAACGUGCCUAGUAGUGGGGGAUAACUACUCGAAAGAGUGGCUAAUACCGCAUGAGAUCUACGGAUGAAAGCAGGGGAUCGCAAGACCUUGUGCUACUAGAGCGGCCGAUGGCAGAUUAGGUAGUUGGUGGGAUAAAAGCUUACCAAGCCGACGAUCUGUAGCUGGUCUGAGAGGACGAUCAGCCACGCUGGAACUGAGACACGGCCCAGACUCCUACGGGAGGCAGCAGUGGGGAAUUUUGGACAAUGGGGGCAAGCCUGAUCCAGCAAUGCCGCGUGCAGGAUGAAGGCCUUCGGGUUGUAAACUGCUUUUGUACGGAACGAAAAGCCCUGGGUUAAUACCCUGGGGUCAUGACGGUACCGUAAGAAUAAGCACCGGCUAACUACGUGCCAGCCGCCGCAGUAA
rnacentral:rRNA from 1 species